CAAAUACGAUGACUUCAUAUUUGUACUUGAUAUUAUCAGCAGGCUGAUGCAGGUUGGAGAAGAAUUUUGUGGCAGUAAGUCUGAAGUUUUGCAAGAAUCAAUCAGAAGACAAAGUGUUAACUAUUU